AGUGGGGAAUAUUGGACAAUGGGGGAAACCCUGAUCCAGCCAUGCCGCGUGUGUGAAGAAGGCCUCAGGGUUGUAAAGCACUUUUAGUAGGGAGGAAGGCCCGGUAGUUAAUACCUGCCGGGAUUGACGUUACCUACAGAAAAAGCACCGGCUAAUUUCGUGCCAGCAGCCGCGGUAAUACGAAAGGUGCAAGCGUUAAUCGGAAUUACUGGGCGUAAAGCGCGCGUAGGCGGCUUGGUAAGUUGGAUGUGAAAGCCCCGGGCUCAACCUGGGAACUGCAUCCAAAACUGCCAGGCUAGAGUAUGGUAGAGGAUGGCGGAAUUUCCUGUGUAGCGGUGAAAUGCGUAGAUAUAGGAAGGAACAUCAGUGGCGAAGGCGGCCAUCUGGACCAAUACUGACGCUGAGGAGCGAAAGCGUGGGGAGCAAACAGGAUUAGAUACCCUGGUAGUCCACGCCGUAAACGAUGAGAACUAGCCGUUGGACAUCUUGCAUGUUUAGUGGCGCAGCUAACGCGAUAAGUUCUCCGCCUGGGGAGUACGGCCGCAAGG
rnacentral:rRNA from 1 species